rnacentral:rRNA from 1 species
UGGGGGAUAUUGCACAAUGGGGGAAACCCUGAUGCAGCGACGCCGCGUGGAGGAAGAAGGUUUUCGGAUUGUAAACUCCUGUCGUUAGGGACGAUAAUGACGGUACCUAACAAGAAAGCACCGGCUAACUACGUGCCAGCAGCCGCGGUAAAACGUAGGGUGCAAGCGUUGUUCGGAAUUACUGGGUGUAAAGGGAGCGCAGGCGGACCGGCAAGUUGGAAGUGAAAACUAUGGGCUCAACCCAUAAAUUGCUUUCAAAACUGCUGGCCUUGAGUAGUGCAGAGGUAGGUGGAAUUCCCGGUGUAGCGGUGGAAUGCGUAGAUAUCGAGAGGAACACCAGUGGCGAAGGCGACCUACUGGGCACCAACUGACGCUGAGGCUCGAAAGCAUGGGUAGCAAACAGG